rnacentral:rRNA from 1 species
AAACGACUCUCGGCAACGGAUAUCUCGGCUCUCGCAUCGAUGAAGAACGUAGCAAAAUGCGAUACUUGGUGUGAAUUGCAGAAUCCCGUGAACCAUCGAGUCUUUGAACGCAAGUUGCGCCCGAAGCCUUUUGGCUGAGGGCACGUCUGCCUGGGUGUCACA